CACAGGUUUACCUGUGUGACUGCGUACCUUUUGUAUAAUGGGUCAGCGACUUAUAUUCUGUAGCAAGGUUAACCGAAUAGGGGAGCCGGAGGGAAACCGAGUCUUAAUUGGGCGUUAAGUUGCAGGGUAUAGACCCGAAACCCGGUGAUCUAGCCAUGGGCAGGUUGAAGGUUGGGUAACACUAACUGGAGGACCGAACCGACUAAUGUUGAAAAAUUAGCGGAUGACCUGUGGCUGGGGGUGAAAGGCCAAUCAAACCGGGAGAUAGCUGGUUCUCCCCGAAAGCUAUUUAGGUAGCGCCUCGUGAAUUCAUCUCCGGGGGUAGAGCACUGUUUCGGCUAGGGGGCCAUCCCGGCUUACCAACCCGAUGCAAACUGCGAAUACCGGAGAAUGUUAUCACGGGAGACACACGGCGGGUGCUAACGUCCGUCGUGAAGAGGGAAACAACCCAGACCGCCAGCUAAGGUCCCAAAGUCAUGGUUAAGUGGGAAACGAUGUGGGAAGGCCCAGACAGCCAGGAUGUUGGCUUAGAAGCAGCCAUCAUUUAAAGAAAGCGUAAUAGCUCACUGGUCGAGUCGGCCUGCGCGGAAGAUGUAACGGGGCUAAACCAUGCACCGAAGCUGCGGCAGCGACACUGUGUGUUGUUGGGUAGGGGAGCGUUCUGUAAGCCUGUGAAGGUGUGUCGUGAGGCAUGCUGGAGGUAUCAGAAGUGCGAAUGCUGACAUAAGUAACGAUAAAGCGGGUGAAAAGCCCGCUCGCCGGAAGACCAAGGGUUCCUGUCCAACGUUAAUCGGGGCAGGGUGAGUCGACCCCUAAGGCGAGGCCGAAAGGCGUAGUCGAUGGGAAACGGGUUAAUAUUCCCGUACUUGGUGUUACUGCGAAGGGGGGACGGAGAAGGCUAUGUUGGCCGGGCGACGGUUGUCCCGGUUUAAGCGUGUAGGUGUGUGUUCCAGGUAAAUCCGGUUCACUUUAACACUGAGGCGUGACGACGAGGCACUACGGUGCUGAAGCAACAAAUGCCCUGCUUCCAGGAAAAGCCUCUAAGCAUCAGGUAACAUCAAAUCGUACCCCAAACCGACACAGGUGGUCAGGUAGAGAAUACCAAGGCGCUUGAGAGAACUCGGGUGAAGGAACUAGGCAAAAUGGUGCCGUAACUUCGGGAGAAGGCACGCUGACACGUAGGUGAAGUGAUUUACUCAUGGAGCUGAAGUCAGUCGAAGAUACCAGCUGGCUGCAACUGUUUAUUAAAAACACAGCACUGUGCAAACACGAAAGUGGACGUAUACGGUGUGACGCCUGCCCGGUGCCGGAAGGUUAAUUGAUGGGGUCAGCGCAAGCGAAGCUCCUGAUCGAAGCCCCGGUAAACGGCGGCCGUAACUAUAACGGUCCUAAGGUAGCGAAAUUCCUUGUCGGGUAAGUUCCGACCUGCACGAAUGGCGUAAUGAUGGCCAGGCUGUCUCCACCCGAGACUCAGUGAAAUUGAACUCGCUGUGAAGAUGCAGUGUACCCGCGGCAAGACGGAAAGACCCCGUGAACCUUUACUAUAGCUUGACACUGAACAUUGAGCCUUGAUGUGUAGGAUAGGUGGGAGGCUUUGAAGUGUGGACGCCAGUCUGCAUGGAGCCGACCUUGAAAUACCACCCUUUAAUGUUUGAUGUUCUAACGUGGACCCGUUACCCGGGUUGCGGACAGUGUCUGGUGGGUAGUUUGACUGGGGCGGUCUCCUCCUAAAGAGUAACGGAGGAGCACGAAGGUUGGCUAAUCCUGGUCGGACAUCAGGAGGUUAGUGCAAUGGCAUAAGCCAGCUUGACUGCGAGCGUGACGGCGCGAGCAGGUGCGAAAGCAGGUCAUAGUGAUCCGGUGGUUCUGAAUGGAAGGGCCAUCGCUCAACGGAUAAAAGGUACUCCGGGGAUAACAGGCUGAUACCGCCCAAGAGUUCAUAUCGACGGCGGUGUUUGGCACCUCGAUGUCGGCUCAUCACAUCCUGGGGCUGAAGUAGGUCCCAAGGGUAUGGCUGUUCGCCAUUUAAAGUGGUACGCGAGCUGGGUUUAGAACGUCGUGAGACAGUUCGGUCCCUAUCUGCCGUGGGCGCUGGAGAACUGAGGGGGGCUGCUCCUAGUACGAGAGGACCGGAGUGGACGCAUCACUGGUGUUCGGGUUGUCAUGCCAAUGGCACUGCCCGGUAGCUAAAUGCGGAAGAGAUAAGUGCUGAAAGCAUCUAAGCACGAAACUUGCCCCGAGAUGAGUUCUCCCUGAGACUUAGAGUCUCCUGAAGGAACGUUGAAGACGACGACGUUGAUAGGCCGGGUGUGUAAGCGCAGCGAUGCGUUGAGCUAACCGGUACUAAUGAACCGUGAGGCUUAACCUUACAACGCCGAAG
rnacentral:rRNA from 1 species